UCCGAUAUGGUGUAGUGGUUAACAUCGUCCGCUUUCAAAGAGGUCUCCUCAAGAUGGUCCGGACAGCCCCGGGUUCGAUUCCCGGUAUCGGAA